UAGGGAAUCUUCGGAUGGACGGAAGUCUGACCGAGCAACGCCGCGUGAGUGAAGAAGGUUUUCGGAUCGUAAAGCUCUGUUGUAAGAGAAGAACGAGUGUGAGAGUGGAAAGUUCACACUGUGACGGUAUCUUACCAGAAAGGGACGGCUAACUACGUGCCAGCAGCCGCGGUAAUACGUAGGUCCCGAGCGUUGUCCGGAUUUAUUGGGCGUAAAGCGAGCGCAGGCGGUUAGAUAAGUCUGAAGUUAAAGGCUGUGGCUUAACCAUAGUAGGCUUUGGAAACUGUUUAACUUGAGUGCAAAGGGGAGAGUGGAAUUCCAUGUGUAGCGGUGAAAUGCGUAGAUAUAUGGAGGAACACCGGUGGCGAAAGCGGCUCUCUGGCUUGUAACUGACGCUGAGGCUCGAAAGCGUGGGGAGCAAACAGGAUUAGAUACCCUGGUAGUCCACGCUGUAAACGAUGAGUGCUAGGUGUUAGACCCUUUCCGGGGUUUAGUGCCGUAGCUAACGCAUUAAGCACUCCGCCUGGGGGAGUACGACCGCAAGGUUGA
rnacentral:rRNA from 1 species